rnacentral:rRNA from 1 species
CCGGAGAAGUGCAUCGGAAACUGGGAGACUUGAGUGCAGAAGAGGACAGUGGAACUCCAUGUGUAGCGGUGAAUGCGUAGAUAUAUGGAAGAACACCAGUGGCGAAGGCGGCUGUCUAGUCUGUAACUGACGCUGAGGCUCGAAAGCAUGGGUAGCGAACAGGAUUAGAUACCUGGUAGUCCAUGCCGUAAACGAUGAGUGCUAAGUGUUGGAGGGUUUCCCCCUUCAGUGCUGCAGCUAACGCAUUAAGCACUCCGCCUGGGGAGUACGACCGCAAGGUUGAAACUCAAAGGAAUUGACGGGGGCCCGCACAAGCGGUGGAGCAUGUGGUUUAAUUCGAAGCUACGCGAAGAACCUUACCAGGUCUUGACAUCUUCUGCCAAUCUUAGAGAUAAGACGUUCCCUUCGGGGACAGAAUGACAGGUGGUGCAUGGUUGUCGUCAGCUCGUGUCGUGAGAUGUUGGGUUAAGUCCCGCAACGAGCGCAACCCUUAUUAUCAGUUGCCAGCAUUCAGUUGGGCACUCUGGUGAGACUGCCGGUGACAAACCGGAGGAAGGUGGGGAUGACGUCAAAUCAUCAUGCCCCUUAUGACCUGGGCUACACACGUGCUACAAUGGACGGUACAACGAGUCGCGAAGUCGUGAGGCUAAGCUAAUCUCUUAAAGCCGUUCUCAGUUCGGAUUGUAGGCUGCAACUCGCCUACAUGAAGUUGGAAUCGCUAGUAAUCGCGGAUCAGCAUGCCGCGGUGAAUACGUUCCCGGGCCUUGUACACACCGCCCGUCACACCAUGAGAGUUUGUAACACCCAAAGCCGGUGAGAUAACCUUCGGGAGUCAGCCGUCUAAGGUGGGACAGAUGAUUAGGGUGAAGUCGUAACAAGGUAACCAAGGGCGAAUC